rnacentral:rRNA from 1 species
ACGGAGGAUCCAAGCGUUAUCCGGAUUUAUUGGGUUUAAAGGGUGCGUAGGCGGACUUGUAAGUCAGUGGUGAAAUCCUGCAGCUUAACUGUAGAACUGCCAUUGAUACUGUGAGUCUUGAGUGUAGUUGAGGUAGGCGGAAUGAGUAGUGUAGCGGUGAAAUGCUUAGAUAUUACUCAGAACACCGAUUGCGAAGGCAGCUUACUAAGCUAUAACUGACGCUGAUGCACGAAAGCGUGGGGAUCGAACAG